rnacentral:tRNA from 1 species
CAGGACAUAAUUUAAGGAGAAUAUCAGUUUUGGGGAUUGAUUGUGAAAGUUAAAUUCUUUCUGCCCUGA